rnacentral:rRNA from 1 species
AGCGGCGGACGGGUGAGUAACACGUGGGCAACCUGCCUACAUAGAGAGGAAUAGCCUUCCGAAAGGGAGAUUAAUACUCAUAACAUUGCAGUUUCGCAUGAAACAGCAAUUAAAGGAGCAAUCCGCUAUGAGAUGGGCCCGCGGCGCAUUAGCUAGUUGGUGAGGUAACGGCUCACCAAGGCGACGAUGCGUAGCCGACCUGAGAGGGUGAUCGGCCACAUUGGGACUGAGACACGGCCCAGACUCCUACGGGAGGCAGCAGUGGGGAAUAUUGCACAAUGGGGGAAACCCUGAUGCAAGCAACGCCGCGUGAGUGAUGACGGCCUUCGGGUUGUAAAGCUCUGUCUUCUAGGGUACGAUAAUGACGGUACCUGAGGAGGAAGCCACGGCUAACUACGUGCCAGCAGCCGC